rnacentral:rRNA from 1 species
UACGUAGGUGGCAAGCGUUGUCCGGAUUUACUGGGCGUAAAGCGCGCGUAGGUGGUCUGCUAAGUUCGGGGUGAAAUCUCCCGGCUCAACCGGGAGGGGUCUUCGAAUACUGGUGGACUUGAGGGCAGCAGAGGUAGGUGGAAUUCCCGGUGUAGUGGUGAAAUUCGUAGAUAUUGGGAAGAACACCGGUGGCGAAGGCGGCGACCUGGUCCAUUACUGACGCUGAGGCGCGACAGCGUGGGGAGCAAACAGG